AGGAUGAGGAAGCAACUGGUAAGAGUCAGAGGAGGGGCAAAGCUGUGCCAAAGAGCUCAGCCAUAGCUCCAGGUCAAGGGUCAGUCAAUGCUUCAGUUCAGCAAAGAGCCACAAGAAAAGCCAGUAAGCAACAAGAUGUGAGGUGGAAUGCCACAGAUAAACCUAGACAGAAAAGAGUCAAGCAUAAGAAGCGCCAAACAGCACAUACAAAGGUGUCUGCAGUAGGGGCACAUCCUGCCCAUAAGAGAGCACGACAGGAAGACAAAGCAGACACGCCACUUCAACAGCAUACAUCACAACCAUUUGGAGGCAGAACAAAAGCAAACAGGCAACAUCAGCUUCAACCAAGAAGGCAUACACCACGACUACAGCGAAGAGGACAUUCACUGCAUCCAAAAGGGAACAUCGUACAUCGCAAGAGGAAGCAUGCCAUGCUGCAAGAGAACCAGGAGCUGAGAGACAUAAAAAAUGGAAAGUGAUGUCAUUUCAUAUGAGAAAAUAAAACAGUAAAAAAAAUACAGUUAAUCAAAGAAAGGGGAGUUGGUGGCAAAUCCUCCAAACAUUGUGUGUAGAUGAUGUGGUUGGGGGAAAUAUGAGAAAAAAGAUUGGUGUGUGUGUGUGU